rnacentral:rRNA from 1 species
AUUGAACGCUGGCGGAAUGCUUUACACAUGCAAGUCGAACGGCAGCACGGACUUCGGUCUGGUGGCGAGUGGCGAACGGGUGAGUAAUGUAUCGGAACGUGCCCAGUCGUGGGGGAUAACGUAGUGAAAAUUACGCUAAUACCGCAUACGAUCUAUGGAUGAAAGCGGGGGACCGCAAGACCUCGCGCGAUUGGAGCGGCCGAUAUCAGAUUAGGUAGUUGGUGGGGUAAAGGCCCACCAAGCCAAAGAUCUGUAGCUGGUCUGAGAGGACGACCAGCCACACUGGAGAUGAGACACGGUCCAGACUCCUACGGGAGGCAGCAGUGGGGAAUUUUGAACAAUGGGCGAAAGCCUGAUCCAGCCAUUCCGCGUGCAGGAUGAAGGCCCUCGGGUUGUAAACUGCUUUUGUACAGAACGAAAAGGUUUCUACUAAUACUAGGAGCUCAUGACGGUACUGUAAGAAUAAGCACCGGCUAACUACGUGCCAGCCGCCGCCGUAA